rnacentral:rRNA from 1 species
UAAGGAAUAUUGGACAAUGGACGAAAGUCUGAUCCAGCCAUGCCGCGUGAAGGAUUAAGGUCCUCUGGAUUGUAAACUUCUUUUAUAUGGGGCGAAAAAAGGGCAUUCUUGCUCACUUGACGGUACCAUAUGAAUAAGCACCGGCUAACUCCGUGCCAGCAGCCGCGGUAAUACGGAGGGUGCAAGCGUUAUCCGGAUUUACUGGUUUAAAGGGUGCGUAGGCUGAUAGGUAAGUCAGUGGUGAAAUCCUGGAGCUUAACUCCAGAACUGCCAUUGAUACUAUCUAUCUUGAAUAUUGUGGAGGUUUGCGGAAUAUGUCAUGUAGCGGUGAAAUGCUUAGAUAUGACAUGGAACACCUAUUGCGAAGGCAGCAGGCUACACAUAUAUUGACGCUGAGGCACG